UACGAAGGGGGCUAGCGUUGCUCGGAAUCACUGGGCGUAAAGGGUGCGUAGGCGGGUCUUUAAGUCAGGGGUGAAAUCCUGGAGCUCAACUCCAGAACUGCCUUUGAUACUGAAGAUCUUGAGUUCGGGAGAGGUGAGUGGAACUGCGAGUGUAGAGGUGAAAUUCGUAGAUAUUCGCAAGAACACCAGUGGCGAAGGCGGCUCACUGGCCCGAGUACUGACGCUGAGGCACGAAAGCGUGGGGAGCAAACAG
rnacentral:rRNA from 1 species